rnacentral:lncRNA from 1 species
ACUGUAGCAGCCCAAGGAUCACCAGGAAGGAGCCAGGGAUCCGUUGGGUUCUGUCAGUUAAAACUUUGCAUAACGGCCUCAGCCACAGACGUGAGCUAGUUCUGGAGAAAGGAUGACGUACUCAGAAACAUGCCUCCCAGUCAUUCACUCAGCCAGUCUGGCGGUGUGCGUUGAGAGCCGGCGGGCGCUAAGCCUUGUCCUGGGCCAUGGACUGAGUCUCAUCUGACCUUGGACUCACCGUGUGAACCUCCAGCUUGACCCCUAGGCAUGCUGGGAUCCUGGAAUACCAAGCGAAGUUCAGAUACCAGCAUUUUCCAUCUGUCUUAUCUCAGGCAAGCUUUUUACUCUCCCCUGUGAAACGAGGGAGAGAUACCCACCCCUCCAGCUAACGGGAUGAGAAAUGGCUUGUACGUUAAGCAUUCUGCUUCGAAAUGAGCAAAGCUGUUAUUACAGACCCCUGAUGAGUCUCUGUCCCACCUUUGGGGGUGGGUGAUAAAGGCAACAGACCCAGCAAACCUUGGAGCCUGCUCAGCUCCGCCUCUCUCUGGAUGGAAGACUUCAAGCAAAUCCCUUCCUUUGCGGACCUCCUCUUCCUCGCAGAAGCAGAGGCUGGGGGCCUUUUGCCUUCUGUCUCCCGGGCCUCUGAGCAUUUUGCCUCAGGAGGUAUUGCCUGAAUGACCUGUUCCAUUAAAGCAUUUCCUGACCAAGACUGAUUUAAGCAAUUCUGGUUAGUUCUGGAAAUUCC